CACGCCUCCGCCUCCUCCUCCUCCUCCUCCUCCUCCUCUUGAGGUGAGGUCGUCCUCCAUUUCUCCACUUAUUCUCUCUUGUUGGGGUUCUAAAUGAUGAGCACUUCUGGGAAGGAUGCAUCCAAUUCGCUAGAUUGGCGAAGUUGUGGAUGAUGAGACCAUGAAUGCAAUACAGUUAUCCCUGUCUGAUGCA